AGCACACCCUCUGUCUGAAGAAUAUAUGCAUAACUGUAUGAUUUGGAUCUGCCUUUCUCUCCCUAAUACCUGUUCUUUGUUUGCUAGCUGGUCCUGCAGAUUGGAAUUUCUUCCUCUUUAAGGACAUUUGUUUUGAGCCAAAGCAGUUAAUUAUGUAGUUCAUAUUCUUGAUUUAAGUUGGGCCUUGAAGCCAAGAUCUAUAGGCUGGUUUUUAAAGUCAUUGCUCCUAGAUAUGCUUUUGCAUGCUUUACUGAUUCUUUAGGUUACCUUGACCUUCUGGGAUAACCCAGGAAUUUUGGAUGUACACCAAGCAGCAACUCUUAAUCCAUAAAACCAGCAAUGAUUUUUAAGGAGCCUGGCAGCAAAAUGAGUAUUCUUGUGCAUUCAUAUUCCUGUAUUUGAUUCUGUCAAGUAAGACCCUGAUUUUGACCAUCAUGGUUUGUGUGUCUCACUGGGAAUUUGGACAUUAAACCUGCAAGCUUGCUACCCGUGACUUUUGAGAUCCCAAGCAUGUAAGAUGAAGAGGACACUAAGGUAAAGAAAGCCCCAGCCUCACAGAGAAAAAUAAACCAUUCUCACUGCAGAGAUGGAAGUGCCUCCACAGUGUGAGUGUGAGACUGCAAGAAACAUUGCUUGGAUUCCUGUCCUCUUCAGGACUGGGUGUGCAGAACUCUGGAUGCUGAUCAGGAUCACUGCAUGUAGUCUUGGAUAUAAGACCUGGAUGCUGUCAUGGGGUCCUCCUGGUGGUCACACAGCUUGAACACCCAGGCCCUGGUAUGUGGAAUCUGGGUAGCCUCCUUGGACGCCACACACCUCUGGUGCAUGUGUGGAGGACUGCAAGCAGGUUUGUGUCAGUUUGUUCCAAACAAAGUCACCCCCGUAAGUUCUCACCAGGGUAUUUCCUACACAGUUCAUACAAUGGUGCACAGUCUUUCCUGUGACCAAACCCUCUUAGGGUCAGUCCAAUCUUUUGACUAUCUCCAGUUCAACUGGCUUCAGAGAAGCCCUUUUCCAUCCUCACAAGACCACCACUACUCCUACAAAUGAACUUUUACAUUUAUGCCCCUAAAUAUAAGUUUUAGCAUAUAUUUUGUGUCCUCAUUGUGCUUUUAUUGUCCCAAAUGAAGGGUCAUUACCCAGUAGGCAACUCAAAUUCAUACACCAAGGAGAAAUAUUUCUAUCUUUAUUGUACUUUGCACAAAGUAGGGAGAUGUGUAGUAAUCCCCAAAGGGCUGACUCCCCAGUCAUCAAAACUUUAACUAUUUAUACAUUUUAACAAACAAACAAUUCAGCAUGAAGUGGUAACAAAUUACAUAGCUUUUCAGUAUUUAGCACUCAAACCUGUAUUUGCUAAUUUGUAAAUCUCACUUCUGAUGCUGAUUAGUCCACCUGGGUAGUUCUUCCCUCCAUUUGUAUUGGAGGUCCAUUUUGAGGAGGUGAUCAAUGGGUCCAUGGUCACAAUUCCCCUGCAAGAACUACUUUUCCCUCAGUUACUGCUUAGUCCUGCUGACUUCAGUUCUGAUGGCUCUCAUCCCGACAGCCCAUUAAUCUCGGGAUUGUGCUCCCUUUUCCUUAAAACAAAAGAUUAGCCAUGCCUACAAAUUUCUAUAAAUUUCACAAUGCAGCUGCUUAAUCCUAGAUGCCUAGAUAUAGUUACUGAUUAACAACAAAAAAACCUGCAAAGUUAGGUUCAGAUAGUGAGACUAGGUGACUUUCUCCAUCACUAUCUCACAGUUUUAAGGUAAAACAUUAAGGUUAAAAAACCCAAACCAAAAAAUUUGGUAAGACAUUGAAAUCCUUUAUAUAAAAAAAAGGAACAAUAAAAGAACGCAAGGACUCUUUUUACUUACUGGGGUUUUUUUGAGUGCAGGUAAUCUUUAAUACAUUAAAAACAUUAACAUUAGAGCAGCUGUAUCACUUCAUUAUGACCUAACAUGAUUUAAAAUAUUUGUAAUAAUUUGACAAUCAACCUUGUCAAAGAUUAAUCAUGUAAUUAUCCCUCUCAUCUUUUUCACAGAAACCCACUGCAAGCUGAUCUCUUAUCAGGGACUCUGUUGAUUCUCAUGGUAUUCAAUAUAUCAAAAUGUCAACAGUUAAUUUUUAAGAGAUUAAAAUGGGUUAGGAAACCAUCCUACUGUGCUUCAUGCCAGAGUGGCAUCUGAGAAACAUACCCAUGCAGGUUCAUUUGUGUUGUGGGUAGAAAAAGAGUACAUCAUGUCUGUAAAAUGUUCAUAGCAGUUCUAAAUGCUCACAUCCACACUUCUGAUUUGCUUUUUAAAUGAUAUUUGUGGAAAUCUGCCAGGCUUGCUGUGUCAGGAUUGAUAAUUGCCAUGACUUGCCAGCCAAAAUUCUCAUGAAGAAUUGAUGAGGACAGUUGACCAAAAACAUGAGCUAAGCCAUGCUUUUCUUGCACCUGGCUGGAGCAAGGCUCAACAACAGAACAUUGUCUGUGAGAAAGCAGAGGCCUCGCAGCCCAGUGUUGUCUCUGUGAAGCACAGAACAACAACAGGGUCUCUGUACCAGCCUUAUCCCCCUCAUCCAUGGGAGCCUUGUGAUAACUCUUAUCCUUUGAGGAGAUGAGGAUGUAAAGACUCUCUGGGGAAGGUCAGAUGGCCUUUGCUGCUGCCUCAGCUGGAGAAGGAGGAUGCUGAAUUGUCAUGGUUCUGUUCUGUCUUUGUUUCCCUGUAAGUCACAUAACUCCAUUUGACCAAAGGUGACCAAAGGUAACCAAAGACCCUCAUUGUCUCUAUUUUGAAUAUUAAAAAUAUCCCCACCAAUAACAACAUAAGAAAAGAGCUGUUCCUGAAUUGAAUCCUGCAUUUGCAGGAUACAAUAUUCCUGAACCAACCAUAUUUGACUACAGUCACAUCUGUAUUUUGCUAAAAGUAUGAAUUUUAUAUUUCAAAUCCUCUACUUUGGGAGAACAAGAAUAUGAACCCACUUUGCAGACAAGACUGUGGGCUGGCUGCUCUGUCCUCCCCAGAACAGCAACACCUCUUUGUUACGAUCUGCACCUCCACCAAACUGCAUUGGAGUGUACCUGGGAACAGUUCUACACAGCACUAUGCACUCACAUUCUGUGGACAUAGUGCAUUUGUCACUGGUAUGCUAACAAGAAUCCAUAACCUGUUGCUUGAAUGAACUACAUUUUUUGUUAAUCUGUGAUCAUGAAAGUUCUUAUUGAACAUGAGCUAUAGUGCCAAAUUGGAUAUAAUCAGAAAUUAAAACAUGCCUCACCCAGCCCCUCUGCUCUCUGAGGACAAGCUUGAAUGCAGGGGGGCUUAUUUUCUGCCUAACUUCAUCCACUUAUCACGGCAUCUGACAUAGCCCAGUUUUGUAUUACUUUAAAUCUCUUUCAAUGUGUUAUCCCUUACUGAUUCAUUCUACACCACACAAAAGCAGUAUCUUCAAUUCCUUCUGUUUGUGAUUAUCUGAAUGAGGAAAAUAUUCUAGUAAUGGAACUGACCUGCUUUCAGGCUUGUGAUGGAUCUUAACUCUUACCAUACAGGGCUGUGACCUGAAUGCUGAGUCACAGGGCCUGCAUAGGGGGGACAGCUGCAGGCAACAAACUGAAUACAUGCAUUUUUAUAGUCAGGUCUGAUGAAAAUUAUGAUGAGGGAGAAUGGGACCCCGAUGAAAAAAAUUUUUAAUUUGUUUCAUUUAUAAUAAUUAUUUUUAUUUAUUAAUACUUGCUACAAUGAAAAACAGUUAAUAGCGAUGCCCAUUGUACAACUUUUCAUUCUAGCAUAUAACAGUGUGAUGAAAUAAAGUUCUUGUCAGAGAAACAGGCUGAGCUUAAAAGAAUCCACCCCAGAACUUGCAGUGAACUCAGUAUGUCAGGAGAUGGGUUCUUGGCAGUAAAUCUGUUCCGUGUACUCAUACGAUGACGUUCAGACACAAUCAAUAAAACUGAUAGUUCUUCCCCAUAUUACAAGGUGUCAUUUGUUUGAUUCAAGGUGACCCAGACCUUGCAGACCAUGACUUAAAAGCCGCUCCCCAUUUUGAGCCAUUGCUACUAUAUAUAAUAACUGUUAAAAAGCAAUUAAGAAACUUAGAAUAAUAAAAGGACUAAUUAUAAUCCCCAAUAAACUCUGCUCUGCUAA